rnacentral:rRNA from 1 species
AAUGGGGAAACCCAGUGUGUUUCGACACACUAUCAUUAACUGAAUCCAUAGGUUAAUGAGGCGAACCGGGGGAACUGAAACAUCUAAGUACCCCGAGGAAAAGAAAUCAACCGAGAUUCCCCCAGUAGCGGCGAGCGAACGGGGAGGAGCCCAGAGCCUGAAUCAGUGUGUGUGUUAGUGGAAGCGUCUGGAAAGGCGUGCGAUACAGGGUGACAGCCCCGUACACAAAAAUGCACAUAUUGUGAGCUCGAUGAGUAGGGCGGGACACGUGGUAUCCUGUCUGAAUAUGGGGGGACCAUCCUCCAAGGCUAAAUACUCCUGACUGACCGAUAGUGAACCAGUACCGUGAGGGAAAGGCGAAAAGAACCCCGGCGAGGGGAGUGAAAAAGAACCUGAAACCGUGUACGUACAAGCAGUGGGAGCCUCUUAAUGGGGUGACUGCGUACCUUUUGUAUAAUGGGUCAGCGACUUAUAUUCUGUAGCAAGGUUAACCGAAUAGGGGAGCCGAAGGGAAACCGAGUCUUAACUGGGCGUUAAGUUGCAGGGUAUAGACCCGAAACCCGGUGAUCUAGCCAUGGGCAGGUUGAAGGUUGGGUAACACUAACUGGAGGACCGAACCGACUAAUGUUGAAAAAUUAGCGGAUGACUUGUGGCUGGGGGUGAAAGGCCAAUCAAACCGGGAGAUAGCUGGUUCUCCCCGAAAGCUAUUUAGGUAGCGCCUCGUGAAUUCAUCUCCGGGGGUAGAGCACUGUUUCGGCAAGGGGGUCAUCCCGACUUACCAACCCGAUGCAAACUGCGAAUACCGGAGAAUGUUAUCACGGGAGACACACGGCGGGUGCUAACGUCCGUCGUGAAGAGGGAAACAACCCAGACCGCCAGCUAAGGUCCCAAAGUCAUGGUUAAGUGGGAAACGAUGUGGGAAGGCCCAGACAGCCAGGAUGUUGGCUUAGAAGCAGCCAUCAUUUAAAGAAAGCGUAAUAGCUCACUGGUCGAGUCGGCCUGCGCGGAAGAUGUAACGGGGCUAAACCAUGCACCGAAGCUGCGGCAGCGACACUAUGUGUUGUUGGGUAGGGGAGCGUUCUGUAAGCCUGUGAAGGUGGCCUGUGAGGGUUGCUGGAGGUAUCAGAAGUGCGAAUGCUGACAUAAGUAACGAUAAAGCGGGUGAAAAGCCCGCUCGCCGGAAGACCAAGGGUUCCUGUCCAACGUUAAUCGGGGCAGGGUGAGUCGACCCCUAAGGCGAGGCCGAAAGGCGUAGUCGAUGGGAAACAGGUUAAUAUUCCUGUACUUGGUGUUACUGCGAAGGGGGGACGGAGAAGGCUAUGUUGGCCGGGCGACGGUUGUCCCGGUUUAAGCGUGUAGGCUGGUUUUCCAGGCAAAUCCGGAAAACC